AUGGUCAAGGGCUACUCUGGUAUAAAAAAAGAGUUGCCCAACGGCGAGAGCUGGUGCACUGAAUUGUUCAGGGUGGGAGGCCAUGAGUAUUCCAUCGAGUACUAUCCUAAUGGCGCAAACCCAAACUGUGCCGACUCCAUUUCGCUCGAUAUUACCCAUUUAUAUGACGAAUAUGUCGAAGAGGGUGUGGAGGCCAAGUUCAGUUUCAGUCUCGUCGAUGACGUCGAGAAGCAGAUGCCGACGUACAUCCGUGCGACUCGUAAAACCCAUGACUUCCGCAGAUGUGACCUUUGGGGUUGCGACAAGUUCAUGAGAGAAGCUGCCCUUGAGCGAUCGGCCAGUCUAAAGUCUGAUUGUUUCACCAUCCGGUGUGAUAUUGUGGUGUGCAAGGACAACACGCCAGAUGCCAUUGGCUCCGGCACCGGUACCGAGAUGCACCAACAUUUUAGCGAUCUCCUUCGGAAUAAGGUGGGUGCUGAUGUGACAUUCGAGGUCGGCGGCAAGACGUUCGCUGCACACCGGUGUGUGCUCGCUGCCAGGUCUGAAGUGUUCAUGGCGCACCUCUUUGGCACCGCUACGUCCAAUGUCAUACACAUCACAAAUAUGGAAACUAAAGUGUUUAGGGCUUUGCUUUGCUUCAUCUACACAGACUCUUCUCCUGAGAUGGAGGACAUCAUGGAGGAGGAAGUUGCGGAGCCAACACAAGAAGAGGCGGUAGAGGAUGAAAUGCUUCUGCAAUGGCUGCAAGACUUGUUUGUGGCGGUAGACAGAUACAAUCUCCAGCGGCUCAAGUUCAUAUGUGAAAAGCAGUUGUGUGAGCAUGUAGGUGUGAGCUCGGUGGUGUCCACUCUUGCUCUAGCCGAGCAGCACCACCGCCAUGGAUUGAAGGAGGCAUGCUUGAAGUUUAUCCAAGUCCUAUCUCCCUCGUGUUUGCAGACACUAAUGGCUACUGAUGGCUGGCAUAUAGCUACGACCUACCCCUCUGUUUUGUACGAGCUCAUUGCCAUGCUUGCUUCAAACCAGCGGAAAUGA
rnacentral:rRNA from 1 species